rnacentral:lncRNA from 1 species
UAAUGAUAAUAAAAAUUAAAAUAUUUAAAAUCUUUCAUCAAGACCCAAAAGAAUAGGGUUACGCCAUAUCUAUUGAGUUGAGUAUAUGAUGUUGGACCCAAGACAAUCGAUUUUUACCUUAGACCCAAGAUAAUCAGGCCAUUUGCCAUGACCCAUGCGCCAUGUGGCACUUGGGCACACCUGAGCGCCACCCUGGCGCUU